ACUAGCUUCAGCUGUACAUGUAUUUAAAAAAAUUGAAGUGGUGUAGAGAAGAUUAAUAUAGCUCUUGUGCAAGGACGACACACAAAUUCACGAGAUAUUCCAUAUUUUU